rnacentral:rRNA from 1 species
CGCGUAGGCGGUUUGCUAAGUCCGAUGUUAAAGACCGAGGCUCAACCUCGACACGGCGUUGGAUACUGGCAAGCUUGACGGCUGGAGAGGCGAGUGGAAUUACCAGUGUAGCGGUGGAAUGCGUAGAUACUGGUAGGAACACCUAUUGCGAAGGCAGCUCGCUGGACAGCACGUGACGCUGAGGCGCGAAAGUGUGGGGAGCAAACAGGAUUAGAUACCCUGGUAGUCC